rnacentral:tRNA from 1 species
CUUAGCUCAACUGGCAGAGCAACUGAUUUGUAAUCAGUAGGUUACUGGUUCGAUUCCGGUAG